ACUCUGGCCAAGAGGGGGAGGAUGCGGACCGAUCAGAGGUUCGACGAAACCGCGAAGCGGUUGAGAACGCCGCACGCAGUGUGGCGGCCCGGAGGGCGGAAGGCCGGAGGCCUGGAGUAAUCCUCCCCCCUCCACCA
rnacentral:sRNA from 2 species